AAACCAACAGGGAUUGCCUCAGUAGCGGCGAGUGAAGCGGCAAAAGCUCAAAUUUGAAAUCUGGCGUCUUUGGCGUCCGAGUUGUAAUUUGAAGAAGGUAUCUUUGGGCCCGGCUCUUGUCUAUGUUCCUUGGAACAGGACGUCACAGAGGGUGAGAAUCCCGUGCGAUGAGAUGACCCGGGUCUGUGUAAAGUUCCUUCGACGAGUCGAGUUGUUUGGGAAUGCAGCUCUAAGUGGGUGGUAAAUUCCAUCUAAAGCUAAAUAUUGGCGAGAGACCGAUAGCGAACAAGUACAGUGAUGGAAAGAUGAAAAGAACUUUGAAAAGAGAGUGAAAAAGUACGUGAAAUUGUUGAAAGGGAAGGGCUUGAGAUCAGACUUGGUAUUUUGCAUGCUGCUCUCUCGGGGGCGGCCGCUGCGGUUUACCGGGCCAGCAUCGGUUUGGAGCGGCAGGAUAAUGGCGGAGGAAUGUGGCACGGCUUCUGCUGUGUGUUAUAGCCUCUGACGAUACUGCCAGCCUAGACCGAGGACUGCGGUUUUUACCUAGGAUGUUGGCAUAAUGAUCUUAAGUCGC
rnacentral:rRNA from 1 species